rnacentral:rRNA from 1 species
UACGUAGGGCGCAAGCGUUAUCCGGAAUUAUUGGGCGUAAAGAGCUCGUAGGCGGUUUGUCGCGUCUGCCGUGAAAGUCCGGGGCUCAACUCCGGAUCUGCGGUGGGUACGGGCAGACUAGAGUGAUGUAGGGGAGAGUGGAAUUCCUGGUGUAGCGGUGAAAUGCGCAGAUAUCCGGAGGAACACCGAUGGCGAAGGCAGGUCUCUGGGCAUUAACUGACGCUGAGGAGCGAAAGCAUGGGGAGCGAACAGG